ensembl:lncRNA
GAUCAAACACCUGAGACCAGAGAAGAGCACUGAGAGCCAUUGGUGAAGGACUUUCUGGAGAGAUGGCCUGCCCUUCAGGUCCAAUCACAGGUCUGUGCUGAGUUCCACAGGAUCACCAAUGUAAAUUUACGGAACCAGUUUUAUUCUGAACUAGAUCGGCACAUUCCACAGCUCAUAGAACUUUACAGACAGAAGGCAGCUCGUACUGGAAGGGUGGCAGGAGCACUGUGAGACAUCCUACAGUAUUAUGAAACUGAGGAUGUGCAGGAUAUCAACAUGAAACGCACUGUGGCCCUUCGUGCUCUCUCAGUAUACCUGCGGGAAGAGGACACACAGUUUUUCAAGACUUGGAACACUGAGGAAUCAGAGGAGCCAGACAUCGGGGACACACCCAUUGGUAUUGUCACGAUGAUCAGAGAAAGAAGUGCAUCUCCCGUUCACUUCAGUCCCGUAUCCACAGCCAUUGUGGUGGAAGAUGAAUUCAUCAUGAGGGACAUUGCCACGUUUGCCGAUGCAUAUGUGUUACUGUUUGGGCUGGUGUAUGUGUUACAUCUCGACUACCCAAAGAAGCUCGUUGGCACCUUCACUUCAUACAGAAGGUUCUAAUGGGGUUGGAUGACGGUGCACCCCUGAAACCUGCUCUGCUCUCUUUGAAAAAUGACCUGCUUACAGUGUAGACGUUACCUGUAUGAUGUAGCAUGUUUGUUGUUACAUUGAUUUAAGAUGUGCCUGUUGUCCUCCUGUUUCGAAUGGUCCUUCUUUCCCUCCUUUCUCCCCUCUUCCACCAUCAUUUCCUUUCCUUCUUCCUUCCUAGACCCAAUCUGUUCCCUUUGCUUUCUUUCUUUUUUCUUUGCUCCCUCCCUUCUUUCCCUACAUCUUUUCUUCUUCUUCCUUCCUUGACCCAAUCUGUUUACUUUGCCCUGACUUCUUUCCUUCCUUUCUCCCUUCUUUCCCUACAUUCUUCUUCCUGCCAUGAUCUAAUCUGUUCCCUUCCUCCAUCUUUCUUUCCUUCCUUUCUUGACCCAGGAGGACAACAAGAGGGAUAUUAAACAGUUUUUUUUCUGCUUAUGCAGAUAUACACUAACUUCCAAAAAUGCACCAGGGUGAGUGCAGGACAAAAAUAAUGCACCAAAAGGGUGUGUCUGAUUCGUUUACCUGGAGAAACAGAGUUUUUGUUGGCCUCUCUUUUCAAAAGGCAUAGAUUUUAAAUCUAUACAUUUCCUUUUUGGUUAUUUAUUUGAUUUAUUUUUUAUUCAUGUGCAAUGACUUGAUAUCUGAUAUCCUGAUAUUUACUUUUUGGUUAUUUAUUUAAUUUAUUUUUUAUUCAUUUCAAAUUAUUUAUUUCCUUGAAUGGCCAUAGAUGUAAAAAAAACUUGAAGAUGCUGUUUUGAAAGGCCAUUACUUUACACUGAGCACAAGUUCCCAAUGCUUUUAUACAAACAUUUAAACAUUUGCAGUGAUUUAUACAUAACCAUACAAAUCUGUUUUUAUAUAAUGUAUGUGUGGAUGUAUAUGUUGACGGUUCAUGAUAUGCAAGGUAUCCUUCAACCAAAUGGGGUGUGUUUACAUUUUCAGAUUGUGCAUUUGUUGGCCUGGUUUUACUGGCCUGGUUUUACAAGUUGGAUGUCCAUGGUUAACAUACAGAUGUGUGUAUGUGGUGUUUGUAUACUUACAGCUCUGUUGCUGUGACCAAAGUGGUUUGGAGAAAAAGAAUAAAAUCUGAAUAAAAACAUUGAAAUAUUCUACAUUUUUGUGUGA